rnacentral:rRNA from 1 species
UGGGGAAUCUUGGACAAUGGGGGCAACCCUGAUCCAGCGACGCCGCGUGGGUGAUGAAGGCCUUCGGGUUGUAAAGCCCUUUUGCCGGGGACGAUGAUGACGGUACCCGGCGAAUAAGCACCGGCUAACUCCGUGCCAGCAGCCGCGGUAAGACGGAGGGUGCUAGCGUUGUUCGGAAUUACUGGGCGUAAAGGGCGCGUAGGCGGCCGGGUCAGUAGGAUGUGAAAGCCCGGGGCUCAACCCCGGAACGGCAUCCGAGACGGCGAGGCUGGAGACCGGGAGAGGAGAGUGGAAUAGCCAGUGUAGAGGUGAAAUUCGUAGAUAUUGGCUGGAACACCGGUGGCGAAAGCGGCUCUCUGGCCCGGUUCUGACGCUGAGGCGCGAAAGCGUGGGGAGCAAACA